GGGAGGUUGCCGGCAAGAACAGGCGUGGGGGGGGGGAGAGAAAAACGGUUCCUUCUUGCGGAGGACGCGCCACUGGAUGAGCCCAUCCGGCCAAAAUUUUCGGAUAUGGCCAGCCAGGACAUUUGGAGUAUAUUCAUUUUUGCUGGAUGCCCUCAAUAUCAAACGAGUGGCAUUCAUAAAAAAAAUGGAUAUCCCUAUCCCAUCCAAGCGCACCCAGGCAAGCAAACGCACCCCUUAAAGAAACCCUUCAUAUUUAAAAGACACUUGGAAUUGCAUAUAUGUGCAUUAUUUCGUGGUAAGUGAAUUGUAGAUACAGUUCCAGGGGUUUGAGCUCUGAAGUUGUUUGCUUUCGCCAUGGGGCAAGCAAAGGCGUGCAGAACUUGAACCACAGGCAAUUGGCAACUAAGCAUAGUGGACCUGCAAAUAGCAGAUUCAGUUAACAAGUACUUGCAGAAACUCACCUCUUCUUAUCCAAGUAUUCUCUGAUAUCCACAGCAAGCAAGCCCACAUCGGAGGCAUCGCGUACCCGCAGACACCCAAGCUCGUCGAGUACCUUGAGUAGCACCUCUCUUGAGCUCCUGUCCGGAGCAGAUACCCAUGCCCGUACCUUGAAUUGCAGGCCGACGCAGCUGUUGUACACCUCUCUCGCAAGAACAGUCUUCCCUGAGCCAGGGAAUCCGACGACGGAGAUCACUUUCAGCUGCUUCCGUUGGCCCUCCUCCAGCUGCUCCAGGAGCUCGUCCCGGGAAACUUCGAUCCCCACCAGAUCCUUCUCGAAGAUGCGCGGACUAUGCGCAAACAAGGAGGAGGAGGAGGAGGAGGAUGGCUCCUCCAACUGGGCAGAGGAAGAGGAAGACUGACCGGCAACCGCAAAGGCUGCGUACCUUUCCUUCCGCUGGUGCGAUUCCUCCAGAACCUUCUUCAGGAGUCGCGGAUCCGUGGCCAGCCGCUUCCGGGACUGCAUCUCCCUCGGGUAGCGGAGAACGCGGCGGAGGAAGCAGGACGACGUCUCCUGCUGCUCGCGGUAGACGAAGCGGUCGAUGCAGUCCUCGAUGUGGUGAGCCAGGUCGCGCAGCUCUCCCAUGGACAGGCUCAGCACCGUUCCUUGACCCCCGCCGCCGCCGCCGCCGCCGCCGCUCCACGAGGGGAGCAGCCGGUGGUGAUAUUCGUCGAUUGCGCCAUGGAUCAUGCAGAGCUCUUUCUCAAGGAACCUGAUGUCGUCUCUGAUGGAUCUCUGCAGAUUGUAUCUCGCCGAUGCCAGCGACAAGAGCUUGGGCAGGAUGAGUUCUAUGAAUCCGCUCAAAAGGGUGGCCUCCAUCUCCCUCUCCCGCCUAUCUCAACACCUCUCUUCAGACCCAGGGUUGAGCAGGAUGGGAACUGGGGAUAUCAGCUAGCUAGCGCACUGCAUCUGUGUUUUUAGUGCAAUGGAUAUGGAUUGGAAUCAACGUCCUAGAGAACAAUGUAAAACACCUACAUAAUAAGCAGUAACAACAAAUUGAGACCCCGCCUAUGCAGACAUUAAAGAAAGAUGACAAUGUAAGCACCUACAUAAGCAUCACCGUCUCCAAUGCAAAUCUACUGUUUUAAAAUCUA